AUGAACGCUGGCGGCGCAUUUAAGACAUGCAAGUCGAACGAAAACGAACAAAUUAAGAAGAGUGGAAGAUUUAUCUGAAAUGAUUUUUAGACCGUGAGUUUUAGUGGCGGACGGGUGAGUAAUACAUAGAUAAUCUGCCUUUUAGAGGGAAAUAACUAGGAGAAAUCCAAGCUAAUGUCCCAUAAGACCACAUUAUCGCAUGAUAGAGAGGUCAAAGGAGAAAUCCGCUAGAAGAUGAGUCUAUGGCUGAUUAGUUAGUUGGUGGGGUAAGAGCUUACCAAGACAAUGAUCAGUAGCCGAGCUGAGAGGCUGGCCGGCCACAUUGGGACUGAGACACGGCCCAGACUCCUACGGGAGGCAGCAGUUGGGAAUAUUGGACAAUGGAGGAAACUCUGAUCCAGUGACGCCGCGUGAAGGAAGAAGGUCUUCGGAUUGUAAACUUAUUUUAUCAGGGAAGAAAUAAAUGACAGUACCUGAAGAAGAAGGACCGGCUAACUACGUGCCAGCAGCCGCGGUAAUACGUAGGGUCCGAGCGUUAUCCGGAUUUACUGGGUGUAAAGGGCGAGUAGACGGAACUGCAAGUCAGAUGUGAAAUGCUAGAGCUCAACUUUAGAACUGCAUCUGAAACUGUGGAACUAGAGUGCAGGAGAGGUAAGCGGAAUUCCUAGUGUAGCGGUGAAAUGCGUAGAUAUUAGGAGGAACACCAGUGGCGAAGGCGGCUUACUGGACUGUAACUGACGUUGAGGCGCGAAAGUGUGGGGAGCAAACAGGAUUAGAUACCCUGGUAGUCCACACUGUAAACGAUGGAUACUAGGUGUAGGCAUGAAUGUGUCUGUGCCGUCGCAAACGCAGUAAGUAUCCCACCUGGGGAGUACCGCCGCAAGGUUGAAACUCAAAGGAAUUGACGGGGGCCCGCACAAGCGGAGGAACAUGUGGUUUAAUUCGAUGAUACGCGAGGAACCUUACCCGGGCUUAAAUUGCAGAUGAAUUACGGUGAAAGCCGUAAGCCGCAAGGCAUCUUUGAAGGUGCUGCAUGGUUGUCGUCAGCUCGUGUCGUGAGAUGUUGGGUUAAGUCCCGCAACGAGCGCAACCCUCGUGAUUAGUUGCCUUGAAGAAAGGAACUCUAAUCAGACUGCCGUAGUUAAUACGGAGGAAGGUGAGGAUGAUGUCAAAUCAUCACGUCCCUUAUGUCUUGGGCUACACACGUACUACAAUGGGUGUUACAAAGAGAAGCGAAACCGUAAGGUGGAGCAAAACUGAAAAAAGCAUCCCUAGUUCGGAUUGUAGGCUGCAACCCGCCUACAUGAAGCUGGAAUUGCUAGUAAUCAUAGGUCAGCAUACUAUGGUGAAUACGUUCCCGGGCCUUGUACACACCGCCCGUCACACCAUGAGAGUUGAGAAUACCCGAAGUCCAUGUAAAAGUGGCCGAAGGUAGGCUUGAUGAUUGGGGUG
rnacentral:rRNA from 1 species